CCUACGGGAGGCAGCAGUGGGGAAUAUUGCGCAAUGGGCGAAAGCCUGACGCAGCGACGCCGCGUGAGGGAUGAAGGUCUUCGGAUCGUAAACCUCUGUCAGCAGGGAAGAACGGUCACUGUGCUAAUCAGCAGUGAAUUGACGGUACCUGCAAAGGAAGCACCGGCUAACUCCGUGCCAGCAGCCGCGGUAAUACGGAGGAGGCGAGUGUUAAUCGGAAUUAAUGGGCGUAAAGCGCUCGUAGGCGGUAUGUCAAGUCAAGGGUGAAAUCCCCGCGCUCAACGUGGGAACUGCCUUUGAAACGGGCAAACUGGAGUGUGGUAGAGGAUGGGGGAAUUCCGGGUGUAGGAGUGAAAGCCUUAGAUAUCUGGAGGAACAUCAGUGGCGAAGGCGACUAUCUGGCACAUAACUGACGCUGAGGAGCGAAAGCGUGGGUAGCAAACAGGAUUAGAUACCCUUGUAGUC
rnacentral:rRNA from 1 species